rfam:Picea glauca, whole genome shotgun sequence.
ACAUGUCUACAACAUAGUGUUAAUGCAACAUAUCCCAUUUGAAAUUUGUAGUUAAGCGGGUUCAGGCUAGAGUAGUACUGGGAUGGGUGACCAACCGAUAAGUCCUAGUGUUUUACAUGCC